rnacentral:rRNA from 1 species
AUUGAACGCUGGCGGCAGGCCUAACACAUGCAAGUCGAACGAGUGGCGGACGGGUGAGUAAUGUCUGGGAAACUGCCCGAUGUAGGGGGAUAACUACUGGAAACGGUAGCUAAUACCGCAUACGCUCGGAUGUGCCCAGAGGGGAUUAGCUAGUAGGUGGGGUAACGGCUAACCUAGGCGACGAUCCCUAGCUGGUCUGAGAGGAUGACCAGCCACACUGGAACUGAGACACGGUCCAGACUCCUACGGGAGGCAGCAGUGGGGAAUAUUGCACAAUGGGCGCAAGCCUGAUGCAGCCAUGCCGCGGGUAUGAAGAAGGCCUUCGGGUUGUAAAGUACUUUCAGCGGGGAGGCGUUACCCGCAGAAGAAGCACCGGCUAACUCCGUGCCAGCAGCCGCGGUAAUAC